rnacentral:misc_RNA from 1 species
GAUGAAGGACGUAGCGAAAUGCGAUAGGUAAUGUGAAUUGCAGAAUUCAGUGAAUCAUCGAAUCUUUGAACGCACAUUGCGCCCUUUGGUAUUCCAAAGGGCAUGCCUGUUCGAGCGUCAUUUGUACCCUCAAGCUUUGCUUGGUGUUGGGCGUCUUGUCUCUAGCUUUGCUGGAGACUCGCCUUAAAGUAAUUGGCAGCCGGCCUACUGGUUUCGGAGCGCAGCACAAGUCGCACUCUCUAUCAGCAAAGGUCUAGCAUCCAUUAAGCCUUUUUUUCAACUUUUGACCUCGGAUCAGGUAGGGAUACCCGCUGAACUUAAGCAUAUCAAUAAGCGGAGGA